rnacentral:tRNA from 1 species
GGGGCAUUAGUUAAAUGGGAUAACAUCGGCUUUGCAAGUCGAAUUUGAGAGUUCGAUUCUCUCAUGCUCCACCA